rnacentral:rRNA from 1 species
AUUGAACGCUGGCGGCGUGCCUAACACAUGCAAGUCGAGCGGUAACAGGCGUAGCAAUACGUGCUGACGAGCGGCGAACGGGUGCGUAAUACAUGGGAAUCUGCCCUCUGGUGGGGAAUAACCCGGCGAAAGCCGGGCUAAUGCCGCAUAAGAUCUUCGGAUGAAAGCGGGGGACCGUAAGGCCUCGCGCCGUUAGAUGAGCCCAUGUCGGAUUAGCUAGUUGGUGGGGUAACGGCCCACCAAGGCGACGAUCCGUAGCUGGUCUGAGAGGACGGCCAGCCACACUGGGACUGAGACACGGCCCAGACUCCUACGGGAGGCAGCAGUGGGGAAUAUUGGACAAUGGGCGAAAGCCUGAUCCAGCGACGCCGCGUGUGUGAAGAAGGCCUGCGGGUUGUAAAGCACUUUCGAUGGGAACGAAAUGUGCCGGGCUAACACCCCGGCAAGCUGACGUUACUCAAUGAAGAAGCGCCGGCUAACUCUGUGCCAGCACG